CCUACGGGAGGCAGCAGUGAGGAAUAUUGGUCAAUGGCCGUAAGGCUGAACCAGCCAAGUCGCGUGAAGGAAGAAGGAUCUAUGGUUUGUAAACUUCUUUUAUAGGGGAAUAAAGGUAUCCACGUGUGGAUGUUUGCAUGUACCCUAUGAAUAAGCAUCGGCUAACUCCGUGCCAGCAGCCGCGGUAAUACGGAGGAUGCGAGCGUUAUUCGGAUUUAUUGGGUUUAAAGGGUGCGUAGGUUGUUUUUUAAGUCAGCGGUGAAAGUUUGGGGCUCAACCCUAAAAUUGCCGUUGAAACUGGAAGACGUGAGUGUGUUUGAGGUGUGCGGAAUGCGUGGUGUAGCGGUGAAAUGCAUAGAUAUCACGCAGAACUCCGAUUGCGAAGGUAGCUUACUAAGCCAUAACUGACGCUGAAGCACGAAAGCGUGGGGAUCAAACAGGAUUAGAUACCCCAGUAGUC
rnacentral:rRNA from 1 species